rnacentral:lncRNA from 1 species
GCUAAGUUUGUUGAAUAUUUGCCUGUACUGGGAGAUCACUAACAAGGAAAUGAAAUCUCAAGAACGAAGAUCGUGUUUGUUUUAACUUAAAAUAGUAUCUUGUUGAACAGGUAGUUUCUAGUUUGUGGUGGUUAGUUGUAUUUGAAAAACUAAUAAUGUUGAACAUUAAAUACUUUUUAAUUGUUGAUUCUGUGUGUGGAUAUAUAGAGAGAGCACAAUGCUUCUCAUGAAUUGCUUUCAAUUUCUUUGCUAUAAAUCUCUAGGAGUGGUAUUAGUGAUGCAAUAAAUUAAUUAUGUGAUUAAUUCAAUGCCUUUGCUCAUUAUGUGUUUACUAUUUGUUUUUUAUUUUGAGUGAGUUCUCAUUUGUCUAUUUAGCAACUGCUAUCCUAACGUUUUUCUUAAAAUUUCAAAUGAUCUCCAUUUAUGGAUAUGAAUAUUACAUUGCUUAUACUUAAAAAUACACACUUCUGAUACAUUUGACAAUUUUGUUGCUUUUCAUUAGAAUUACUGUUAUACA